AUUGAACGCUGGCGGCAGGCCUAACACAUGCAAGUCGAACGAGUGGCGGACGGGUGAGUAAUGUCUGGGAAACUGCCUGAUGGAGGGGGAUGACGACUGGAAACGGUAGCUAAUACCGCAUACCAUCAGAUGUGCUCAGAUGGGAUUAGCUAGUUGGUGGGGUAACGGCUCACCAAGGCGACGAUCCCUAGCUGGUCUGAGAGGAUGACCAGCCACACUGGAACUGAGACACGGCCCAGACUCCUACGGGAGGCAGCAGUGGGGAAUAUUGCACAAUGGGCGAAAGCCUGAUGCAGCCAUGCCGCGUGAAUGAAGAAGGCUUUCGGGUUGUAAAGUACUUUCAGCGGGGAGGCGUUACCCGAAGAAGAAGCACCGGCUAACUCCGUGCCAGCAGCCGCGGUAAUAC
rnacentral:rRNA from 1 species